AACGUAGGUACCGAGCGUUAUCCGGAAUUACUGGGCGUAAAGCGCGCGUAGGCGGCUUUGCAAGUCGGGUGUGAAAUCCCCAGGCUUAACCUGGGAACUGCAUUCGAGACUGCAUUGCUAGAGUAUGGGAGAGGGAAGUGGAAUUUCCGGUGUAGCGGUGAAAUGCGUAGAUAUCGGAAGGAACAUCAGUGGCGAAAGCGACUUCCUGGACCAAUACUGACGCUCAUGUGCGAAAGCGUGGGGAGCAAACAGG
rnacentral:rRNA from 1 species